rnacentral:rRNA from 1 species
UGCGUCGCUGGCGGCCGCCUAACACAUUCAAGUCGAACGAAGUAGCAAUACUUAGUGGCAGACGGGUGAGUACUAGUAUCUGCCCUUUGGCCUGGAAUAACAUGAGGAAACUUAUGCUACAUACCGGAUAAGUCUUUACGGAGAAAGCUUUAUGCACCAUUGGAUGAGCCUGCACUUGAUUAGUUUGUUGGUGGGGUAAUGGCCUACCAAGACUGUGAUCAAUAGCUGAUUUGAGAGGAUGAUCAGCCACAUUGGGACUGAGACACGGCCCAAACUCCUACGGGAGGCAGCAGUGGGGAAUCUUGCACAAUGGAGGAAACUCUGAUGCAGCGAUGCCGCGUGAGUGAAGA